rnacentral:rRNA from 1 species
CCAGACUCCUACGGGAGGCAGCAGUGAGGAAUAUUGGUCAAUGGGCGGAAGCCUGAACCAGCCAAGUCGCGUGAGGGAAUAAGGCCCUACGGGUCGUAAACCUCUUUUGCCGGGGAGCAAGGGCGGGGACGUGUCCCGGCCCGGAGAGUACCCGGAGAAAAAGCAUCGGCUAACUCCGUGCCAGCAGCCGCGGUAAUACGGAGGAUGCGAGCGUUAUCCGGAUUUAUUGGGUUUAAAGGGUGCGUAGGCGGGCUUUUAAGUCAGCGGUAAAAAUUCGGGGCUCAACCCCGUCCGGCCGUUGAAACUGGGGGCCUUGAGUGGGCGAGAAGAAGGCGGAAUGCGUGGUGUAGCGGUGAAAUGCAUAGAUAUCGCGCAGAACUCCGAUUGCGAAGGCAGCAUGCCGGCUCCACACUGACGCUGAGGCACGAAAGCGUGGGUAUCAAACAGGAUUAGAUACCCGCGUAA